rnacentral:rRNA from 1 species
CGGCAUGCCUUACACAUGCAAGUCGAACGGCAGCACGGGAGCAAUCCUGGUGGCGAGUGGCGAACGGGUGAGUAAUAUAUCGGAACGUGCCCAGUCGUGGGGGAUAACGUAGCGAAAGCUACGCUAAUACCGCAUACGAUCUAUGGAUGAAAGCGGGGGAUCGCAAGACCUCGCGCGAUUGGAGCGGCCGAUAUCAGAUUAGGUAGUUGGUGAGGUAAAGGCUCACCAAGCCGACGAUCUGUAGCUGGUCUGAGAGGACGACCAGCCACACUGGGACUGAGACACGGCCCAGACUCCUACGGGAGGCAGCAGUGGGGAAUUUUGGACAAUGGGCGCAAGCCUGAUCCAGCAAUGCCGCGUGCAGGAUGAAGGCCUUCGGGUUGUAAACUGCUUUUGUACGGAACGAAACGGUGAGCUCUAAUACAGUUUGCUAAUGACGGUACCGUAAGAAUAAGCACCGGCUAACUACGUA